AGAGUUUGAUCCUGGCUCAGGAUGAACGCUGGCGGUCUGCUUAACACAUGCAAGUCGAACGGAGUACUUCGGUACUUAGUGGCGGACGGGUGAGUAACGCGUGAGGAUCUGCCCUCAGGAGGGGGACAACGACUGGAAACGGUCGCUAAUACCCCAUAUGCCGAGAGGUGAAAUGUUUUUUCGCCUGAGGAUGAGCUCGCGUCAGAUUAGCUAGUUGGUGGGGUAACGGCCUACCAAGGCGACGAUCUGUAGCUGGUCUGAGAGGAUGAUCAGCCACACUGGGACUGAGACACGGCCCAGACUCCUACGGGAGGCAGCAGUGGGGAAUUUUCCGCAAUGGGCGAAAGCCUGACGGAGCAAGACCGCGUGAGGGAUGACGGCCUAAUGGUUGUAAACCUCUUUUCUCCGGGAAGAUAAUGACGGUACCAGAGGAAUAAGCCUCGGCUAACUCCGUGCCAGCAGCCGCGGUAAUACGGAGGAGGCAAGCGUUAUCCGGAAUUAUUGGGCGUAAAGCGUCCGUAGGUGGUUAAUCAAGUCAGCUGUUAAAGAGCGGAGCUUAACUCCGUUAGAGCGGUUGAAACUGAUUGACUAGAGUUUGGUAGGGGUCGAGGGAAUUCCCAGUGUAGCGGUGAAAUGCGUAGAUAUUGGGAAGAACACCGGUGGCGAAAGCGCUCGACUGGGCCUGAACUGACACUGAGGGACGAAAGCUAGGGGAGCGAAAGGGAUUAGAUACCCCUGUAGUCCUA
rnacentral:rRNA from 1 species